UGGGGAAUUUUGGACAAUGGCGAAAGCCUGAUCCAGCAAUGCCGCGUGUGUGAAGAAGGCCUUCGGGUUGUAAAGCACUUUUGUCCGGAAAGAAAUCCUUGGCUCUAAUACAGUCGGGGGAUGACGGUACCGGAAGAAUAAGCACCGGCUAACUACGUGCCAGCAGCCGCGGUAAUACGUAGGGUGCAAGCGUUAAUCGGAAUUACUGGGCGUAAAGCGUGCGCAGGCGGUUUGCUAAGACCGAUGUGAAAUCCCCGGGCUCAACCUGGGAACUGCAUUGGUGACUGGCAGGCUAGAGUAUGGCAGAGGGGGGUAGAAUUCCACGUGUAGCAGUGAAAUGCGUAGAGAUGUGGAGGAAUACCGAUGGCGAAGGCAGCCCCCUGGGCCAAUACUGACGCUCAUGCACGAAAGCGUGGGGGAGCAAACAGGAUUAGAUACCCUGGUAGUCCACGCCCUAAACGAUGUCAACUAGUUGUUGGGGAUUCAUUUCCUUAGUAACGUAGCUAACGCGUGAAGUUGACCGCCUGGGGAGUACGGUCGCAAGAUUAAAACUCAAA
rnacentral:rRNA from 1 species